CCUACGGGAGGCUGCAGUGAGGAAUAUUGGUCAAUGGACGAGAGUCUGAACCAGCCAAGUAGCGUGAAGGAUGACUGCCCUAUGGGUUGUAAACUUCUUUUAUCCAGGACUAAAACGAGCCACGAGUGCCUUUUUGCAUGUACUUUAUGCAUAAGGCUCGGCCAACCACGUGCCAGCAGACGCGGUAAUACGGAGGAUCCGAGAGUUAUCCGGAUGUAUUGGGUUUAAAGGGAGAUUAGAUGGGUUGUUAAGUCAGUGGUUAAAGAUUGGGUCUCAACCGUACAAUUGCAAUUGAGACUGGCAGUCUGGAGUACAGUUGAGGUAUGCGGAAUUCGGGGUGUAGCGGUGAAAUGCUUAGAUAUCACGAAGAACCCCGAUUGCGAAGGCAGCUUACUAAACUGUGACUGACAUUGAUGCUCGAAAGUGUGGGUAUCAAACAGGAUUAGAUACCCGGGUAGUC
rnacentral:rRNA from 1 species